AUGCCAUCCUCACCGCUGGACACUGCGCUGUCGACAUUGGACACUACGUCGCUGUGGCUGGAGACUACGACUUAAGCAGCAACGAGGGAAGUGAACAGGAGAUUCGAGUCUCAGAGCAGAUCGUACAUCCCGACUAUCCUGGGAGGAUCAACCGCAGUCGUUUCUGGCUGGGGUACAACGGAGACGGCCUUCACACCUGAUAUUCUGCAGACUGUUGACGUCACCAUCAUUGACUAUGAAACAUGCAGACAAAACAUAGACGACUUGAAUAUGGGAUCAAAUCCGCUUACAGACACCAUGAUCUGUACGGGACCUCUCUAUGACGGCAUCUCCACCUGCAGUGGUGACUCUGGCGGCCCCUUGGCGCAGAGCAACGAACUGAUCGGUGUCGUUUCCUGGGGAAUAGACCUGUGUGGAUACGAAGGCGCUCCGUCCGUCUUCACCAGAGUAUCUGCUCACCUGGACUUCAUCAAUCAAUAUCUGUGAAUGGAUACUUCACACGUAUAAAUCAACUUACAUGCGGUGACACAUUUAUCUUUAAUAAAUCACCUCACAUCAGUUUCAGUUUGUUGCAGUAUCCAUUAUCACUGUUGU